UUCAAAUCCUCAUCAUAGAGAGCAAAGAUAUAGGUAUCGACUGAUAUGCCAGGCAUCAAUGGAGUGCCAACCAUAGACCUCAAGUGGUUUAUCAAGUUACCAUUAUAAGCUUUUGCAUUAUCCAUACUAGGGCCUACUUCAUUUGGAUCUCCCUUGUAUGGCCACCCUGUCUCUGCAACCACAAUUUGAAUUUCCUUAAAUCCCCACGCAUUCAGGGCUGAACGUACAGCGUCAACCUGUGCAUCAAACAUAUUCAUGUAUUUGAUACCGUUGCCUGAAUCGACCCGGCCAGCAUUUGGUUGGAAGAGACAGAAUGCCAAAGUUUCAGGUCUUGGAUCACUCUGAUAUGCAAAGAAUGGGUAUGGAUUGAUCAUCAGAGGUGAACCAUUGUCCUUGUGAAAUUGCAGCAGAGCUUUCAGUGUGUCCCCAAAUACAGGACUGAAUAACCCGGAAGAAGGCGGGUCGGACUGGGACAAAAUGGACAUGGCGUGUACCGUUGAUACUUUGAUUCUACCACCAAGGGAAGCAGCAUUGAGGGCGUUUUGGACAUUUUGCAUGGCGGGUAAUAGUUUGGGAAUAAGGUUCUGAUCCCCUGAGGUCACGACUUCGUUACCCACAUUCACCACAAUUAUUUUACUCGCCGGAUAGUACGCCAAAAUAUUGUUAUGAACCCAUUGUCCGGCGAAAUUCGGGUCGGCGGCAAGCGCCGGGAUAUCUCCGUUGGAAGCACCGAUCACAAUCCCGAUCCCGGUAUUCGCCAACGCUUUUAUGAUAGCCGGAUCCGCUCCGUACAACCUCACCUUCUGAAUGCUCGUUGAUUGAAUAAGUUUCACCGUCUCUGCCGGCGGCGGGAGGUUGUCGGCAACUUGGCCGUAGUUUACACCGAUAAAAGCCUGCGAAUCUGCGGGAGAAAGAGAUUGGAGUAAAACAAAGAAGAUAAGGAAGAAACUUGAGAGUUUUUGUGGAUCCAUUGAUGAAGUUUGUAUGUGAAGAGGAAGAAGGAGGAAUUUAACGGUAAAAUGAAUAGAUAUAUUUAUGAUGGGUGGGAGUGGGGUCAAGUGGAGUAGAUUUAACAAGUGAGGUUUGAGGGAAUGAAGGUGUGAACAUGUGUUUGUGUGCGUACUUCAGUAGAGUACAACACACAAAGUUUCG
rnacentral:misc_RNA from 1 species